rnacentral:misc_RNA from 1 species
UUUCUGUAGGUGAACCUGCGGAAGGAUCAUUAAUGAGUUGUCAUGGGGUUCGAUGCUGGCAGCCAAUUUUUGGAUGCAUGUGCUUGCCCUAACAAUCAUCUUCCAAACACCUGUGCACAUUUUUGAGGGAGUCUUGAGUUGGUUGCCGCUCUUGGGUGAUUUUCUCACAUUCCCUUAAAUCAUUAUACGCUAUUAACAAUGUUGAACGUGCUCUGUGCCGCAAGGCUAUUAAUAUAAUACAACUUUUAACAACGGAUCUCUUGGCUCUC